CUCUCUCUCUCUCUUUUUCCAUCAUGAUUGGUAAUAAAAGCGACACAGGAAUUAUGAUACACAGAAGAUUUGAAAGCCAGUGGAAAGCUGAAAGAUUGAACAAAAUUGAAGCCAUUACCGUUUGCUGAUUAAGGAAGAUACUCAAAAGGAUGACCAAAAAGAUUGCAAGAUAAUCAAUGUUGUCGAUGGUCAAAUGACUGUGCUGAUGAAUCUUAUUAAUUGAAAGUAAACCAUCAAAUCACUAUCAGCAGAAAAUUGUUUCCAUACUCCUUGUUUUCUUCAUGGUUUCAGUUGAAUGCACGAGAUAGGAACCAAUAUUGAGAACCAGUAGAAUUAAAAACAUGGAAGGUUUUUGAUUAAUCGACCGGUAGAAGAAGCAAAAGAGGAAAAAAGGAAAAAGAUACAAUACAAAAUUGCGUGUUUUUCAUCAAUUGAUGUUACAUUAUAAUGGUCAAACUGGAUCAAAGGUCAAAGGAAGAAAGAGAAAAAGAUAAAGAGAAGAGAUCAAGUUUCCAUAUUGAAUCAUUUGAGAAUAUCCCUAGCUAAUUGUUUCUUAUUUUAAUUGGUUCAUCAUCAUCAUCAUCAUUUUGGUCUAUGUGUUUUCCUCACAUAGGAAAGACCUAAAAAAAGUAUCAACUCAUCAAAAUCAUCAAAUUUACACCAAAGAUUGAAAGAUAUCAUCAUGACAAUAUGAUAUUAAUUACUUAAUAUCAUGUUUAAUUUAUCCAUCAUAUUUGUAUAUCAAGACAAUCAGCAAACCAUGAAGCAAUCAAUGGAAAUGGAUCUCGUAAAUAACUACCUCUCUCUCUCUCUCGCAAUUUAAUUGAUUGUAGACACACUUCAUAACCAUAAAGCGAUGGAUCGACUUAUCAUGUUAACACUAAAUAACAACGAUAAUCUAAAUAUGAAGAAUAGAAAAUGAUUGUUAAUAGUUAGAUGAUUUAUAUAUUGUUAUUUGAGUCGUUUCUCCAACUCAUGCAGACACAAGGAUCAUAAACCACACGGAUAAUAAUUUUCUACCAUCAUUAUCAUUGUUUUUUAUGAUUUUUACAAUAUUUAUCCAAAGAGUAUUAAUCUGUCAAGAGAAAGGGAGAAAAAGAAAGACCCAAGAAGUUGUAUCAAGAAGAGAGGGCGAGAAAAAUCAUCAACUGAUGAAAAUGGAUUAACGGUAAUCAAGAAGCAUAUACUAUCCAUCCAACAUAAUCAAAUUAAGUGCUAUUUGACAGGCAUCCUUUUCGUCCUUUUUUUUUAUAUUAUAUAUCAUCAUCAUCAUCUCUUUUCUCUUCAUUUUCUAUGAACUCUCAACUGAAUGGUCAAUACUCAUUUUGACUGAAUGGACUCUUACCCAAAAUGAUAACCACCAUCUUCUAAACUCUGAGCUUUCAUCAAUCAAUUUAUAAGAAACAACAACAUUAAGCAAUUGCUUAUUUCUUUGUUCUUUUUAAACAUUAUCAUCAUCUUCAUCUUAUUUUCUUUUUCACUCUUCUUUUUUCUCUCUCUCUCCAAAGUAGAUAUUUUCGAAACGAUAAACAUUUACCUGACUCUCAAAUAAUAGAUGAGUAGCUUUUCAUUGACCUCAAUGGGCUAUUCAUUUCUGUACUGGUUAAAAAGAAGAGGAAACAAAAGCAAAGGGUAUAAAUAUUCACAGAGGAAUCUUAACAAUCUAUUGACGGUGUUAAUGUGCAAGUAAAUUAUAUUAAUAGUUAUUGGAAGAUGGGUCAGGUAGGAGAUGGAGAAAAGGAAUUGCAACUAAAGAUUAUCAAAGGAUCAUCAUCAUCAUCAACAGGAGGAAUAAGAUGAAAAAUGUUGAAUCAACUUUGACCCUAUUGACCAUUUUGAAGAGAACACAUUAAAUCCCUUAUUCUAUUAUGUGUGUUCUUUCAUUUUCCUCAUCUUCUUCUUCAAUGUGUUCAUCUUUUCGCAUUCAUCAACAUCAUCUUAAUCAUUUCAAUCUCCAUCUUUAUUUUCACCUUUUUCCAUGAUCAAUGGUUAUUUGGUGACAAUUUGCAACUUGAAAUUUAAUUUACUGUUCAGAAUAGGAAGCGAUUUGGCUUUAUUCAAAAUCGAUUCUCUCAAUAGGUUCGAGGAAAAAAGAGAGAGAAAUUCAAUGAAGGAUAUUGAUAAUAUUAUAAACAAGGAUGAUGGAGGAAGAUAAAGAUGGAGAAGAAAAUAAAAAUGAAGAUAAAGAAGACAAAAAUAUACUAAGAGAUUGAAGGUGAAGGUAAUAGAGGUAAAUUCAACUAGUUAAACAUAUGAAGAGGAAAAAAAGGAAGAGAAAGAUGAAGAUGAUAAAUAUGAUGGAGUAGAAAACCAGCCAAAGCAAAAGAAAAAGAGAGAACCGAAAGAAGCCCCUGAAGCAAGAAAUUGAACCUCUUCUCGAAUAAUAUCACCAUCAUCAUCUCAAUUCUAUUCGAAACAUUCCCUGGGAUGGAAGGAAAGUACAUAUUCAUACCAAGAAUAUAAUUAUGGUCUCAAUGGUGAUGAAGAAUUGACAGUUACAACUGUUAUCUUCAUCAACACCACCAUCAACAACAAUAAUCAUCAUCACAAGAACAUAAUAUCAUCAAGUGAGAGAGAGAGAGAGAGAGAGAGAAGAUAAAAUGAAUGGGAAAAUCUCCAAGGGUUUAACCAAGUUUACUCGAUCAUCAAACUCCUUAAAGGCAAAGUAAUGAAAAUGAACAAUCACUUGAAAGUUUCAUCUUCAUGAUGAUCAUUUUUAUCGUCAUCAUAUCAUGUGUCCAAUGUUGUGAAAAUUUUAUCCACUUCCUGAAAUCAAUAGACAACAAUUGUUGAUACCAAGUGAAAAAAAUUAUCAAAUGAAACGCGCAUGUUUCCAGUUGAUUGUUAUUAUAAUAUAAAUGAUUUGACAUUUACUAUUAGAUAAUAAUUUGGGUUUAUCAAUUGAAUUGGUUGGCUCAAUCAUCAUCAUCAUUGAUGAUCAACAUAAUAAUAACCUGAUUAUGAUUCAAUGAUUCAAACGGAUGAAAGACUGAUGAUGAUCAAUGAAUCUCAAGUAAAUUUGAUUGUGAAAACCUUACCUGGUGAAGAGAAAUGAAAAAAUGAUUUCCAGAAGCAGUUGAUUUGAUUUUCUGUCAAUCAAUCAUGGUUAACUGAACACCAAUAGAUCAAAUUUACGAGUUAACUUGAAGCUCUCAAAGAGACAGGAAAACAAUUGUAUUAAUCACAUUAAUUUAGUUAAUCAUUUUGUAAUAACAAAACUAAAUUACAAUUGUACUUAACUAGACUGAUUAUCAAUUCACCCACAAAUGAUUUAACAAUUAACUUGAAUGGAAAACAACAAUUUAAACUGGAUUAUCAGGCAACAAUAACAACAAUGAUUUAAGCAAAAUUAAGUUAACAACGGACUCAAACAAUUUAACUGAUGAACGACCAAUAUAAUCAAUAACAAUCAAUGUGAACAAUCAGUGAAUGAUUUAAAUUACAAUGGUGAUAAUAGUAAAUCACAAUUGAAAUUUACAAUGAGAGUUAAAAAAAUGAUUGUUAACUAAUAGUAACAUUAAAAUGAAGCCAGAAUUCAGGGUAACCACAAGUUACAUGGAGGAAAAAAUUGAACAGAAAUGAACAAUAAUAAUAUGAUUAUGAUGAUUUCAAUUUCCAGAUAUUAUCUCGUGAAUUGAAAACAACAGAAUGAAAUAAUAAAUUUAGUUCUCAAGGGAAUUACAAUGAAGUAAUCAUGAUAAUAUGAAUUGCGAAGGCUGAAAAACUGAAUCAACAAUUUGUCUGAUGAAUUUAGUUUUACACUUUUUUCUUACAAUAUCAUGAUGAUCAUUUCUAAUAAUAAUCAUGAUGAAAUAUUAUUAUGAUUACUUUCAUUUUCUGUUGAUACAAAUGGUGGAGAAGAAGAAGAAAAAAAAUGAUAACAAUUGGAAAAAGAGAAAAUAACAAUAAUAGUGACCUAAUCAUGUUCGAGGUUCAGAACUUUUUUCUUCUUCUUCUUCUAUGUAAUAUGUUGGGAUGAGAGAGAAAAAAGUUCUAACCAGAAAAUAGAUAAUAAUUGAAAGAUAUUUUAUCUAUUAUCAUUUUGAUUGUCUUCUUUUCUUCAUUUUUUUCUUCUUCUUCUCUUUCUUUUCUUAUUACUUUAUCAUCUUCAUGAUUAUCGUCAUCAUCAUGGUGAUCAUAUGUUACCCUGAGUUGAUUUUCAUCUGAGGUUUCAUUUGAUUCUUAUUGUUUUCUGAUUUCAUUUAUCUUUAACCUUAAUUGUUGGCUAAUUGAAUUGUCACUUGUUCUUUGUAUUUGUUGUUAUUACAAUUUAAU